GACGAACGCUGGCGGCGUGCUUAACACAUGCAAGUCGAACGGAAAGGCCCUGCUUUUGUGGGGUGCUCGAGUGGCGAACGGGUGAGUAACACGUGAGUAACCUGCCCUUGACUUUGGGAUAACUUCAGGAAACUGGGGCUAAUACCGGAUAGGAGCUCCUGCUGCAUGGUGGGGGUUGGAAAGUUUCGGCGGUUGGGGAUGGACUCGCGGCUUAUCAGCUUGUUGGUGGGGUAGUGGCUUACCAAGGCUUUGACGGGUAGCCGGCCUGAGAGGGUGACCGGCCACAUUGGGACUGAGAUACGGCCCAGACUCCUACGGGGGGCAGCAGUGGGGAAUAUUGCACGAUGGGCGGAAGCCUGAUGCAGCAACGCCGCGUGCGGGAUGACGGCCUUCGGGUUGUAAACCGCUUUCGCCUGUGACGAAGCGUGAGUGACGGUAAUGGGUAAAGAAGCACCGGCUAACUACGUG
rnacentral:rRNA from 1 species